GCUGCGUGCGCUUUCUCGACCUCCAACAGCCAAGCCCGACUUUGAUCUGCGCCGCUCAACGACAUGAAGCGAGAUCAAUUACAGAGGAACAACAGUGACAAAGAAUUCGCUGCUUUACGUGCAGGCAGUUUCCCACGAUCGCCGACUCUGUAGGGCCGCCGAGGAAAUGUCAGCAAACAGGCUAUGCAGCAGGGAAAAGGAUUAUUUGGAGCCAUGGUAUGCCACACGCAUAGACACUGAAAGAAACAACCCGAGGGAUGGACGAAAGAAACUAUCGCCGACACCACACAGCGAUUUACACAAAGCACAAUGGGGCAUUCUAUAAACAUAAACCAAAAGUGAGGGAGGAGAAAACGUGGUCAAGAAAAUUGUCGCUCAGAGAGAAUUCGCGACUCUGGACUUAUUGUUUGCACUGUCAACCAACUUGUUUGUUCGUAAACAAACCCAUGUUAAACGCUCUCUCGCUUUGCGCAACACUUGAUUCAGUUUGCUGUGUAGUCUCUUCAUUGUUAUUCGGACAGUUUAAUUUAUAUUGAGUAGCAUUUUCUUGAUGAACGCAAUUCGUUUGAUUAAAUUGCUCUCCUAUCGCCUAUUGUGCAUCCAGCUUAUUCUUUAAUAGUCUGCAUCCUUUUUUAAAAAAUGUGAUUUCUCCGAGGCUUGGUACGAAAUCGACAGCAAUGUGGAAAAAAAUGUAAUUUUAAAUAUGCUAACUUCGCCGUAGAGUUUUACUGACGUGCGCUUUAUAUACUUUAACAUAAUUAAAUUAAGUAUGCAUAUUUACAAUUAGAGAAAAAUAUUGCAACUCUGCAGAAGUAUAUGUAUGUUAAAACCAUCAGGAACCAUAAUACGCCAUUAAUUCAAUGCGCCUCGCUUCCUUUGCAGAAAAAGGCUCCACGUGGUAUGUUUUUAAAAUCAUAAUGUAUUGCUACAAAGAAAUGUUUUCAGAGUCCCUGGAGAGAAGGCUGUGGACAAAAACCUUAGUAUGUCUAAUAAUGCUCUUGUUGUUUUGAGAGUUCCAGUUUCUUAAACAUCCAUUCGGAACUUUGUAGAAAGGAGGAAAAGGUCUCCAGCAGCGACAAUUUUUUUUAGGGGGAGUAAUUUGUGAAAUGUGAAAUUGGCUGGCGAAAUAACCUCAAAAUGAAUUGUUAACCCAUCAUAUCAUUUUUAAUUAGGUAUGCACCAAGAAAGAUUUGAGAGUUUUAUUUUGCUGCGUUCCUUUAAAAAAAACCCAGCACCUACAGCAAAGUACCUUUAUACCUAUCGUUUUGCCUUCACCAGCUUUUUGUACCGACGCACAUAUCAUCUUCUGCUUCAAAAACUGCCCUUUAUAAUUAGCCAUAGUGGUAGGGUCAGUUGCAUUUAAGGGAAUAUUUAUGUUAACUGAAUAGAAAUUGGGGAAGCUGGUUUUCUGCCUAAGCGUGUUUUUUUUUAAAGAAAAAGCCAAUUGAAUUCCUUUAUUUCAAACAAGGUAUGCAUUGUGAUCAUUCAGGAAUUUAGAAAAAUAAAAUAAUAGUAGCAUAAAUGUUUCCUGUUUUAUAAAUCUGUUGCUAUCAAGCAUGUAACAGAAUAAUUUCACUGGAGCAUGGAUUUAACGUGCAUUUCUGCUGUG